GACGAACGCUGGCGGCGUGCUUAACACAUGCAAGUCGAACGGAAAGGCCCUGCUUUUGUGGGGUUCUCGAGUGGCGAACGGGUGAGUAACACGUGAGUAACCUGCCCUUGACUUUGUGAUAACUUCAGGAAACUGGGGCUCAUACCCGAUAUAAUCUCCUGCUGCAUGGUGGGGGUUGGAAAGUUUCGGCGGUUGGGGAUGGACUCGCGGCUUAUCAGCUUGUUGGUGGGGUAGUGGCUUACCAAGGCUUUGACGGGUAGCCGGCCUGAGAGGGUGACCGGCGACAUUGGGACUGAGAGACGGCCCAGAAGCCUACGGGAGGCAGUAGUGGGGAAUAUUGCACAAUGGGCGGAAGCCUGAUGCAGCAACGCCGCGUGCGGGAUGACGGCCUUCGGGUUGUAAACCGAUUUCGCCUGUGACGAAGCGUGAGUGACGGUAAUGGGUAAAGAAGCACCGGCUAACUACGUG
rnacentral:rRNA from 1 species